UUGACCUCGGAUUAGAUAAGGAUACCCGCUGAACUUAAGCAUAUCAAUAAGCGGAGGAA
rnacentral:rRNA from 1 species